GCCAGAUUCCACGAUUUGGGGAUUCCCUAUGAGGAGCCGGCGCGUCGUCCUCAUCGCAGGCGGGCGGGUGUUGGCAUGUGCGCGUACGGAGGAGCUCCACCUCACCCACUUCAGCUUCCUCCUGUCGUCAUCAUCGUCCUCCGCGCGACCACGCCAGCUUCCAUGGUUUGGGGGAGCCUUCCCUAUGAGGAUCCAGCGUGUCGUCCUUGUCGCACCCUAAUUAGGUUCCUGGUGUGUCCGCACCGCCGCACCCUAAUUUGAUUUCGACUAGAGUCUAGGACGUCAGCGCACCAGUUUACCAAUCAGGUCGUUAGCACUGCCGUCCAGGUGAUAAUAAACGCCGUUCACCACAACAAGAGGUGAGAGGCAGAUUCCAGAUAAGGUAUGCCCUAGCAGGUUUUAUGAACCAGAGGCGAGAGGCAGAUUCUUGAUGAUGAUUUUCAACUGGAUCUUAUAUUAUCAUAGCUUUAUGCUAAUUUCCAAAAAUAAUUGUCCUUUUCAAUUUUAGUACUGUCAUGCCAUCUCGAAAGUAUGCAUUGAGAAGAAAUUGUUGGAUGAGAUAGAUAGUUACUAUCAUUACUAAUUUACUAAUUUGCAUCUCGGAUGAUUUUAUUAUUUGAUAUGCUUAAUGAUUUUAGAUGCCCUUUUUUGGCCUCUAAAUUUAUGUCUACAUAGAUUGAUUAUUAUUUAGACCUUUAUACUAAAGGCCCUGGAUUUUUGUUUCGCCCUGGGCCCCUAAAAUCCGAGGACCGGACCUGCCGGCAGCACUUGAUUCUAUUUUAGCUGCAACCAAGUAUCUACUUUAAAGUUAUAUAGAUCAGAUUUUGUCGAUAAAGCUGAUUUUCCUGAUCCUAUAAUCCUUGUUCUGUCAAGCCAAACAUGUCAUUUUCUUUAAGUUUGCAUAACUGUAGUUUUUAUUUGUCAAUUUUCUAAAGUUUUAUGAACACUUCUGUUUUUCUGUCGAGCACUAAUAGAGAGAAAACUGUUUUCUUAUUUUUAACCGGGAGCAAACUGCGUAGCAAGAUCAAUAAUGAAUGGUUCAAGUCAUGUGUUACAAGUUACAAUGAGCAGGUGGUACUCAAGUCCAUUGAUGAUAAGGAUAUUAUUCGAACAUUUACUGCAAUGAGGUCUCGGAAAGGGCAUUUGCCUCGUGAUUGUCUUUAGUGCGCUGUCGGUAUUCGGCAUGCCAGCGCCUUCGUCGACCUCCACUCGCCAAUCUGUAACGCCUAUGCCCGUGGUGGCGGGUCACACUCUGAUGCAGCCGUGCACGCCGCCGCUACCAGACGACACCCCCAUCGAGUAAUACACCCCAGUCGAGAUUUUCUAUAUCAUCUCUGCCAAGGCGCAGUCAUCGGAAGAGAUUCAGGUAAGAUUAUCCUUGUUUUCUACAUCAAAUUUUGCAUGUUCAUCUAUCUAAUCUUUGAUACUACAUUUCUUAGCUAAUGUCCUCCUUGCCUGUACCAUGUUCAUAUGAUUAACAAAGGCUUGGCCAUCUUAAUAUAGUAGCCCGUGAGGUGGAUAUAUAUACUACUCCCUCCAUUCCUAAAUAUAAGUCUUUUUACAGAUUCCAAUAUGGACUACUGAAUGAAUCUACACUCUAAAGAAUGUCUAUAUGCAUCCGUAUGUAGUCCAUAUUGAAAUUUCUAAAUGGACUUAUAUUUAGAAACAGAGGGAGUACUUCAGUUUGCAUGAGAGAAUAAUCACUUAUAUGUGUGCCUUGAUAUUAUAGUAGGAUUGCUUGGAUUAUUUCUGUAGUACUUUGUCCAAAAAUGUUGUUCUAAUCCCUAGCUCACUUGAACCUGGGUGAACAGUAAAAUAAUUAAAAAAUCUGAUUUUUUUAGUGUGAAACAUUGACAAAUGUUUUCAUAGCGAAUAGAAAUUUUUCACCAGAUGACAUUCGUGGAAAAUAUGUCCAAAAAUAGUUGCAAAUUUAUCACCAGAUAACAUUGUGGAAAAUAGUUGCGUCCGUACAGUGUGUUCUUCGUCGAAUUUGUGUUUGAUUUUUUCACUAUAUAUUACUUCUUGCUUGCGCGAGGGUGGUGUAGAUUUGUUAUUUUUUGCCCCGAAAAGAAGGUAGCCGGAUUAGUAGUCUAAUUGAGUAGAUGCUGGUGAGUGAGGGUUACUUGAUUUUUAUUGAGUACAUUAUGCUCUGCUUUGUGACGAGGUUUGAAAUUUGAUGGUUCUGAUGUGUAAUAGAGGGGGCAAAAGUGUUAUCCAUUUCAUUGUUUCUGUGCAUGUUUACGUUGACAUCGGUGGCGGGAGGCGGCAUUGCUGGCGGCCGAAGGGGUGCUUGUGGAAGCAGGUGGAAUAGUCGGCAGCUGUGGGGAUUCGUUAUUCUCCGAGGUUGGCGGGCUCGACGUGAGGCUCGAUGGGGCUGCGGGAUUGUCAAGCAGGACACCAAGCGUUUGGGAAAGUGGCAUGGUGCUGGUCCUUGAAAUUGAUGUUCUUAGUGAUUUAUGAUGGAGUUUUAUCUGAAUUUAACAUCGCUGUCCUCAACAUCAAUUUUGUUGACUCAUAGGCGGGUGAUUGCUCAACGAUGACUGGAGACGAUCUUCGGUAUUACAACUGGUUUAUACCAAUGGGUUAUUUGCAUCUCAAGUUAAAUUAGUCACUGUUGAUCAACAAUGAGAUGUGGCCAUUGUUUGAUGGAUCAUUGAUGGUACGGAUGUGCAAUGAAACAAUGAUAUACCCACUGUAUUGGACCCAAACACCUUCCUGAAAAUUGUUCUGAAGGGGUUAGCACAAGGAAACUAUUGUUAUGACUUGCGAGGUCUGCUGGAGGUGACCGGAUCCGGAUGACUUGAGCAAAGCUGUGAAAAUUCACGGCAAGGGAUGGGGGUACAAGGCAUGGGUCUGCGGCGCCACACCUUGCUGUUCCCUGCCGGUGGCCAGCGAGCUGUGGCGGUGCUUCUCUGUUGCAUGGCGAGGGACUGGGGUGCAAGGCGUGCAUCUGCAGUGCCACUCCUGGGGCAUGCCUCUCCCGCGACAUUGCCGGCAUACACAACAUACCUUACUACACGGGGAUUUCCUCUCUGAACUAAAUAUUAUGUCAGAACUGAAUAUUACGUCCGAAGACUGAAACAUCCAGAAAGCUUAUUGAGACUAUUCAUUGAUGGUGUUUCUCUACUACACGAGGAAGUUUCAUGUGCCAAUUAGGCAUGGACGACGACGGCCAUGAUCCCAUCAUCGCAAGCUCAUGGGAGGGAGACACACGUCUCAUCCAGUGUAAUAGCACGCUCCAAAAAAUCCCUAACCCUCCAUGGAGCCAUUGCCAGGGUGAUGAGAUCAACACCACCCACCAGCACCACCACCGAGUCGUAGACGGCGUGUCAUGGUGGUCCCUAGCUCUUCCCGCCUCUUAAGAGACCACAUGGCGUUCUGGCAGUUCUGGUGCAGUUUUUGGCCAAGGCUGGAAGCCAAGAACACUUAAUUUUGAUCAUGGACGUGACAUUGUGGUCGGCGUUGUGUGGUGCAGUUCAGAGUUUUCUUGCCUGGCGUAUAACAAUGCAUGUUCAAUGGGGUAGCCUCUUCUCAGGCACGAGUAUCCGAGGCAGACCAUGACAUCUAUUUAGAAUAGCUACAACAAAAUUGUGACAGAGAUGGUUAGUGGGAGAAGGAACUUGAGACCACAGUCAAUUCUGCUGUAGGGGCUGUGUGUAGAAGAUAGUAGUAGCAAACAUAGAAGUCACUUUGGAAAAAAAGUGUGCAUAUAUUGUUGUACUAGAGAUCCAUUCCUAUAUUUCACUGAUAUGCAUGGUUGAAUUGUAGUAUGUGUGAUAAGUGAGAAUAAUGUAAUAUGAAGCGAAACGUGGUGGACAGGGCUUCACAUUGUUGUUUUUCAGUAGAAUAUGAUGUUCGUCUCUUUUUCAUA